CUUUACCAAGCCUAGGUCUUUGAAACCAGAGCAGAGCAUGGGAUUUCCUAUGAUGGAUGUAAAUGGUAGUCCUGUAUAGUACCCAUCCUGGGACUACCUGGUUGCUGGAGCAUCUGAGCGUGGUGAAGCCACUUGCUGCAACAGGGCACUUAAGCACAGCCUGUAGAGCCACGUGUACCGAUCCAGUUGGUAAUUACUGGAGUCAUUUUCUCCAGUCUGGGAGUGAAGUGGUCACGGGAGUCACAUUCUGGGUGAGAAAGAAAAGCUUUGUACAGAGACGUGAGCUUUAAUCAGGGGACAGCAGACAAGCAUUUUAGAAAGUCUCCCCUUGCCUCGCGGUGAUGAAGAAUAAAUGACCCACCAGCAAAUGACUCCCUACGCUACUGCUACAGCUCCCUGGAAAUACCCACAAUGCUUCUGCCUGGAUUUCAAAGAUGGUCUGGGCCUCACUGUGGUCAUUAGUGCUGUAGGAAAAACAGCAGUCGAUCAAUGGAUUGACUCUGGGGAGAUGCUUCCGGGUUUCAUCGCUCUAAGCCACAGUUACAAGAUCAUUUCUACGAGAAAUAAAAUUACUGUGAAUAUUUCUGUACAAGCUUUUGUGUUGCAACAUGGUCCUGUGCCUCCUGGGAAAAGCAGAUAGG
rnacentral:lncRNA from 1 species